CAGCGAUUUGCCCUGCUAGCGAUUUGCCCUGCUGUGUGUGAAACUGCGCAUGCGCUUAGAUAAGCAGGGGAAAUCGCUGUACUAAUCACAGCGAUUUACUCUGUUUCAGCGAUUUGCCCUGGCUACGCGGCAAGCUACGUACGCCCAGGCAUCGCAGGGUAGAUCGCUGCAGUGUGAUUGCAGGGAUUUGCUCUGUUUUAGCGAUUUGCCCUGAUGACUGAUUUGUUGUACACAGUUUUUGCUCGUCUCGGAAAGGGUGGAGUAUACGAGUAUCAUCUCUACCUCUAGACGUCCAAACUCCUAAUAUUGCAAACUAAGCGUGAGACGUUCCAUAAGUUUAUGGGUGUUUACAAGUUUCUACUUGUCUAUUCAGCUGCAGCAACAACAACAACAAACAACAACAACAAACAACAACAACAAAGCAGCACAACUUCAAGGCUGCAGCAGGGAACUGUUCUAGAUAGAUAGAUGUGUUGAAUAUUUCUAAUGUUUGUUUUAAAUCAAUUAUAAAUUGAAUUCUACUAUGUACUCCUGUUUAUCUUCCGUGCAAGAGUAAUUUUGCAGACUGACACGUUGUAUAGUCAUCUAAUUUGUAAGUUAUUCAAAGUCACAACGUUGUACUUGGUAAUAAGUGUACCAUCUAGUUUGAAUGAGCGAGCUUGACGGCUAAAUGAGCACUUCUGGUUUGAUGUCAGGGUU